AUAAUUUGUUUUGGCAGUGUCUCUCUGGGAUUUUGUUGCUUGCUGGGUUUAUUUUCUAUGUUUUUUGUUUUGAUUCAUUAGAAAUGAGGCAUUGUAGUAUUAUCUCAGCCUUUGAUUGUUGCUUUAGAUUGGACUGGUUGAUGAUUUUGCUAGAUUUUAGGAAUUCAGGGCUCUUUGGAUGAUGGUUUUAGAUAGGAAAAAUUGUAGGAUUCACUGGUGCUGAGAUAUAAUCACUUGGCACAGGCCUGCGUGCUCUUCUCCGCUUUAUGACAGGAUUGUAUGUCUGCCUGAUUAGAGAUGACGUAUAUUCAAACACUCGGCAGCGAUCCACAGAAGCAGCAGGACGUUCUAUAGUCUCAAUUGUUGUGGACCACAUAUUUCUCUUCAUUACUGAUACUGAGUUCCAGCUCGAACUUUUGAUGCAGUCACUCUUCUUCUCACGGGUACUGUUCUAUGACUCUUACAUAUUAAAUGAAAAUUUUCAUUGCCAUUGUCUUAGUAUUCUAUGACUCUUGGAUGGGUCCUAUGUACUCUUUUUGUUUUGUAGUUGUUUUUUUAUUUAUUUUUAAUUUUUAAUUUUCCAAAGAACAUGAAAGCCAAGAUUACAGCUGAUUACAGAGGACUGAGUUCACUAUUACUGCUUUCUUUAGACUUUGUUGAGAUCAGCAAAGAACCAAGUAUGUAACUUGGUCAUUAGUAUCAAACUUGAUAGUUUUAUGUUGCUGUCAUCAUGUUUAAUUUUCUGCAAUAAGGAUCCUUUGUGCUAGCAUUGUCUUAGAAUUGUUUGAUUGUGAUUGUUAAUUUGCCCAGACGAUUGCUUGAUGUAUAAUUUUAGAAGGGUUAUCUACUUAAUAUUUCAAAAUCUUGAAACAUAGACUUCACUUUUGGGUAUGGUUAUAAGCUAUGCUUGGUUGAACUAUGUUCUUUUGAUUUGUGUUUGCUGAAUUAUUUCAAUUUAUGUUUUUGUGAUACCUCAUUAGCUAUUUGAUCUGGUCUUCUGGCUAUGAAUAUGAAUGAACAUGUAUGAGACAGAGAGAAAGGGAGAGCGACCUGAUGAUGUUGAUGAGAGCUAGAGAGAGAAAAACAGAGGAGAAUAGUAGGUUGCUAAAAGAGAACUAGGGUUUCCCAAACUCCUCGGAUCUGCGCCGUGGAGUUUGAAAGUAGACUAGACGCUACCGGUACUAAUCAUGGAACACUUUCUAUAGUUUUCGUUUUGAUUCAUUAGAACUGAGGUAUUGUACCAUACGUGGGUUUAGCUUACAGAGUUUUCGUAGAGGUAAAGAAAGCCUCUGCAUUGAGGUUCUGAUUUCAUAUGUACACUUUUGUUGUUGUUAUUUUCUUAGUUGUAUUUAUUCUGGGCCUUUCACUGGUCUCUCUCCCCUCAAUCCUCCUCUCGCUUGGCCUCUCCAAUAUCACUCUUUUCUCCAUCACUUCAUUUCCUUUUGCUGUUAAAUUUUCUGAUUU